CCCUGAUGUUAGCGGCGGACGGGUGAGUAACACGUGGGUAACCUGCCUGUAAGACUGGGAUAACUCCGGGAAACCGGGGCUAAUACCGGAUGCUUGUUUGAACCGCAUGGUUCAAACAUAAAAGGUGGCUUCGGCUACCACUUACAGAUGGACCCGCGGCGCAUUAGCUAGUUGGUGAGGUAAUGGCUCACCAAGGCAACGAUGCGUAGCCGACCUGAGAGGGUGAUCGGCCACACUGGGACUGAGACACGGCCCAGACUCCUACGGGAGGCAGCAGUAGGGAAUCUUCCGCAAUGGACGAAAGUCUGACGGAGCAACGCCGCGUGAGUGAUGAAGGUUUUCGGAUCGUAAAGCUCUGUUGUUAGGGAAGAACAAGUACCGUUCGAAUAGGGCGGUACCUUGACGGUACCUAACCAGAAAGCCACGGCUAACUACGUGCCAGCAGCCGCGGUAAUACGUAGGUGGCAAGCGUUGUCCGGAAUUAUUGGGCGUAAAGGGCUCGCAGGCGGUUCCUUAAGUCUGAUGUGAAAGCCCCCGGCUCAACCGGGGAGGGUCAUUGGAAACUGGGGAACUUGAGUGCAGAAGAGGAGAGUGGAAUUCCACGUGUAGCGGUGAAAUGCGUAGAGAUGUGGAGGAACACCAGUGGCGAAGGCGACUCUCUGGUCUGUAACUGACGCUGAGGAGCGAAAGCGUGGGGAGCGAACAGGAUUAGAUACCCUG
rnacentral:rRNA from 1 species